ensembl:lncRNA
UCAGUUGUAAUAGUUAAUUGUAUUUAUUUGCACUUUUCAAUUGUAAGUAGUGGACAGAGAUAACAGUUUAAUUAUUAAAAAAAUACAAAUCACAGUACAGCGCGAAUGAAAAAUAAAACAGUGGAGCCGAGGCAUAAAGUGAUCGUUGACGUAAUUAAUUACAUAACAGUAAUAGUAAGGGGAUACAGACAGAGCAGACAAGGCUAAUUGGAGAUGAUGACCUCUGUAACCUCCUCAUUGGCACUGCAAGCCUGACAGACACAGACUGGGUCAUCCUUUCUCUAUAUAGUGCACUACUAUGGGCCCAGGGUCACUCUAUUCCCCUACGGGCCCAGGUCCAAAGUAGUGCUCCAUGUAAGGAAUAGGGUGCCAUUUGGGAUGCAGCCAGGGACUACAACCUAAAGCAGGGCUGUGUUCAGCAGGGCUAGCAUGCUAGUUGUUCCUGUGGACUUCCAGUCAUUGCACUAAUGCGACUUCGCAUUGGCUACCUUCCGUCAUACUGGACACAGAGACAUAAAAUGUUUAUCCACGAGUUCAUCUCUGGGUCAGUACAUAAAGGGCCUCAUCUGACUCUGGGUUAGUAGUUAAAGGGCUUCAUCUGACUCUGGGUCAGUAGAUAAAAGGGCUUCAUCUGACUCUGGGUCAGUAGAUAAAAGGGCUUCAUCUGACUCUGGGUCAGUAGAUAAAAGGGCCUCAUCUGACUCUGGGUCAGUAGUUAAAGGGCCUCAUCUGACUCUGGGUCAGUAGUUAAAGGGCCUCAUCUGACUCUGGGUCAGUAGUUAAAGGGCCUCAUCUGACUCUGGGUCAGUAGUUAAAGGGCCUCAUCUGACUCUGGGUCAGUAGUUAAAGGGCUUCAUCUGACUCUGGGUCAGUAGAUAAAAGGGCUUCAUCUGACUCUGGGUCAGUAGUUAAAAGGCCUUGUUGCCAACAUCCAGAAGAAUCCCUUUUAAUACAUGGAAGUAGCAGAGACUUAUUUGUAGUGCUCUCAAUUUGAUAGGGGGCGUGUUUUAAGCUCAAUGAGACACACUUUAUGUGAAGUGGGAUACUAGGCUUUAUUAAGUAAAUAGACAGUGGCUCCCUCUUAUCCACACCUGCAGCUGAUCUAAGUCUGUAGACUGUGGUGUGUUGAGUCACUUGGAGGGAACCUGCCAACCAGCCUGAUCAACUUCUAAGGCCAGGGACCAGUCCUGUCCACUAACAGUUAACCCUUAUCCUUAACUGUUUGAAAUGUCCCCUUCAAAGGGCUGACAGAGUUGGACGUCCCAAGGAUUCUGUUUAGAUCCUUGGGUCCACUAAUCCAGAGAGCUAGGUGAGCCGGCCAGGCUUGAAGAGAAGGGGAGGUGGUUUCUGAAAACUCCCAACCAACAUGACAUUCUACCAUAAAGGCACUGAAACACUACUCACUCACAACUUGCAACAUAAAAGGAGCCUACAGCCAUGUCUCAGGGUUACCAUCAGCAUUGGGCCAUUUCCAUUUUAAUUCAGAAAGUAAAACCAAAUUUCAAUUCCAAAUGUUCCUCGUUGAAGAUGAUUGGAAUUUCAGUGUAAUACCUGAAUUGACUGGAAUUGAUCCUAAUCCUGGCAUAGAGCAUGUUUAAAAACAAAACAAAAGCAGAAAUGUAUGAUUGAAUCAGUCUUAUAAGACAGUCUGUUAGGCAGUCUAGCUGUAGUCUGGUCUCUCCAGAUAGUGGUUAUGUAUGUGCAAUUACUUGUUCCCAUUGACACCAAGGUAAACCAUGGUUAGCCUGAAUCCCAGAUCUGUUUGUGCCGUCUUGUCAUAACGCCCAUGUCCCUCAAAUUGAAAUCUGGACCUCAAAGCCAGUUGAACUGCUAUGUAUCAUUCUUCCCCUCUAGUUAGGGACUCAUUUCGACCUGGGACACCAAGGGUGUAUUCAUUCCGCCAAACAGGUAGAAAAGAAAAGCAGCAGUAGUCCGGACCUCGUAGGGUAAUAACCCCGUCUUAUGAUAAUGACAGAGUUGGCAAGACCACACAAACAGACCUGGGAAUCCUGACUCAUGAGCAGUGGCAUCACUAGACUUUAUGCUACCAUCCUUUACCAUGACAACAAGCUCCACCUGGCUCCCAGGGAUUUCUGAAAAACCUGGAAAAUGUAGGGACAUUUUGCAACCCCUUCAAUUGUGAAUAAAUAGACGACUUGAAGGCAGGAAGCUCAGAAGGAGCACUGAUCCCUGGCCUAUCAUUAGCAUUAUAGCAUUACUACCACUGAUCCCUGGCCUAUCAUUAGCAUUAUAGCAUUACUACCACUGAUCCCUAGCCUAUCAUUAGCAUUAUAGCAUUACUACCACUGAUCCCUGGCCUAUCAUUAGCAUUAUAGCAUUACUACCACUGAUCCCUGGCCUAUCAUUAGCAUUAUAACAUUACUACCACUGAUCCCUGGCCUAUCAUUAGCAUUACAGCAUUACUACCACUGAUCCCUGGCCUAUCAUUAGCAUUAUAGCAUUACUACCACUGAUCCCUGGCCUAUCAUUAGCAUUAUAGCAUUACUACCACUGAUCCCUGGCCUAUCAUUAGCAUUAUAGCAUUACUACCACUGAUCCCUAGCCUAUCAUUAGCAUUAUAGCAUUACUACCACUGAUCCCUAGCCUAUCAUCAUUCACAUU